rnacentral:rRNA from 1 species
UAGGGAAUCUUCCGCAAGGGGCGAAAGCCUGACGGAGCAACGCCGCGUGAGUGAUGAAGGUCUUCGGAUCGAAAAACUUUGUGAUUAGGGAAGAACAAAUGUGUAAGUAACUAUGCACGUCUUGACGGUACCUAAUCAGAAAGCCACGGCUAACUACGUGCCAGCAGCCGCGGUAAUACGUAGGUGGCAAGCGUUAUCCGGAAUUAUUGGGCGUAAAGCACGCGUAGGCGGUUUUUUAAGUCUGAUGUGAAAGCCCACGGGUCAACCGUGGAGGGUCAUUGGAAACUGGAAAACUUGAGUGCAGAAGACGAAAGUGGAAUUCCAUGUGUUGCGGUGAAAUGCGCAGCGAUAUGGAGGAACACCACUGGCGAAGGCGACUUUCUGGUCUGUAACUGACGCUGAUGUGCGAAAGCGUGGGGAUCAAACAGG